UACGGGGGGAGCAAGCGUUGUUCGGAUUUACUGGGCGUAAAGGGCGCGUAGGCGGCCACCGCAAGUCGACUGUGAAAUCCCCGGGCUCAACCUGGGAACUGCAUCCGAGACUGCAUUGCUAGAGUAUGGGAGAGGGAAGCGGAAUUUCUGGUGUAGCAGUGAAAUGCGUAGAUAUCAGAAGGAACAUCAGUGGCGAAGGCGGAUUCCUGGACCAAUACAGACGAUAAGGUGCGAAAGCGUGGGGAGCAAACAGG
rnacentral:rRNA from 1 species